GUAGGGUGCGAGCGUUGUCCGGAAUUAUUGGGCGUAAAGAGCUCGUAGGCGGUGUGUCGCGUCGGCCGUGAAAACUUGGGGCUUAACUCUGAGCGUGCGGUCGAUACGGGCAUCACUUGAGUUCGGCAGGGGAGACUGGAAUUCCUGGUGUAGCGGUGAAAUGCGCAGAUAUCAGGAGGAACACCGGUGGCGAAGGCGGGUCUCUGGGCCGAUACUGACGCUGAGGAGCGAAAGCGUGGGGAGCGAACAGGAUUAGAUACCCUGGUAGUCCACGCCGUAAACGUUGGGCGCUAGGUGUGGGGACCAUUCCACGGUUUCUGUGCCGCAGCUAACGCAUUAAGCGCCCCGCCUGGGGAGUACGGCCGCAAGGCUAAAACUCAAAGGAAUUGACGGGGGCCCGCACAAGCGGCGGAGCAUGUGGAUUAAUUCGAUGCAACGCGAAGAACCUUACCUGGGUUUGACAUGCACCAGACAUCCCUAGAGAUAGGGCUUCCCUUGUGGUUGGUGUGCAGGUGG
rnacentral:rRNA from 1 species